GCCGGCGUAGCUCAGUUGGUAGAGCAGCUGAUUCGUAAUCAGCAGGUCGUCGGUUCGAGUCCGACCGCCGGCUCCA
rnacentral:tRNA from 4 species